UUCACUCCGGUUUUUUUUUUUUUUUUUUCUUUUUCUUUGAAGAUUAACAAUAAUCCACCAAAAGAAAACAUGCAGGAAUUUUAUCCAGAAGAAAAAACAAAAA
rnacentral:ribozyme from 15 species